rnacentral:rRNA from 1 species
AUUGAACGCUGGCGGCAGGCCUAACACAUGCAAGUCGAGCGGAUGAAGGGAGCUUGCUCCUGGAUUCAGCGGCGGACGGGUGAGUAAUGCCUAGGAAUCUGCCUGGUAGUGGGGGAUAACGUCCGGAAACGGGCGCUAAUACCGCAUACGUCCUGAGGGAGAAAGUGGGGGAUCUUCGGACCUCACGCUAUCAGAUGAGCCUAGGUCGGAUUAGCUAGUUGGUGGGGUAAAGGCCUACCAAGGCGACGAUCCGUAACUGGUCUGAGAGGAUGAUCAGUCACACUGGGAGUAUGAGACGCACGUGACUCAGACGGGGGGAGGCAGUGGGGAAUUUGGGACAAGGGGCGAAGGAUGGAAAGGACAAUGAGGCGUGAGGGAGGUAGGUCUUCGGAUCGUCAAGCUCUUUUAGUGUGGAAGAAAAAAUGUGUAAUGAAUAAUGGCGGUCUUGCAGCGAACAAAGUAGACAGCAACCGCUAACUUCAUC